UCGGUCGCGGCCGCUUUCCCCGGGCACUGCAGCCCGAGGCUGCCUCUCGCUCCCCCGCGCCACCCCGCGUCCGCCGGUAGGGUUCGCCCGCGCCGCUGCGUCACUGCCGCGUGACGUCAGCGCUGACCGUGACGUCACGCGGCGAGGUGUGAAGGUCAUGGCGGCGCUGUCCCGACAGCGUCUCCCGCACUCCCGCGGGACACCAACCGGGGCCCUCGGGGAGGCCCCGCGGCCCGGCUGUGACCGCCCACCCACCUCCCCGGGACCUCGGCACCGCCGUGUCCCUCAGCUCAGCGCCGCCUCGGCGGCCUCCGCCGGCUCCCGCUGCCGCACCGGGCCCGCGUCACCCCGCCAGCUCUGUGUGCUUGUGUCGGUGCCAUGUCACCGACUUGAUGUUUCGUCACACAGCACAUUCCUGAAUCCGCCCGUGACAGCCCCGAGGCUCCCUCCCGCCGGUCUGGGCAGCCCGUGUGUGGCGCUGGCCCCGCUCUCGCUGUCACCAGCGCUCCAUCUCUCCCAGAAAAGUCCUAUGGCACCGAUGCCGUCCCAGCGUUAAUUUUGGUCUGCGACUGUGUAAGACCAGUGAUGGAACAUGGCAAAGCCAUCCACUGUACCAUGUUAUAGCCUAAAUUUAGGUAAUCCACGCCACGGCACUGUCAUCUAUAGGGGAUAUGUUGCAAGCACAUAAUCACAACUUAGCUGCUUUUAAAUGCAAACACAUGCUAAGUGUGAUUGCACGGUUGCCACAUCAGAUUGUCGUUGCCACACUGUAAUUGCCUUAACAUUUCCUGUCCUGUGAUGCCACAUCCCAAAGGUUUACUGGUGUAACUUCACCAGGGAAGUGGGGAUUGCAGCAGUAUCACAGCACAGCACGGUUGUGGUUAUCCCAGUGCAGUGGUUGUGGUUAUCCCAGUCCACUCACAGGACGUGGGCUCAUCCUAUGACAGCAUUAAGUUUUGGGUUCCACCCCAUUGACUUGGGACUAAACACAGGCAACAAGUGUCCCCUGCUGGAUACCAGCUUUCUGUUCACAUCAGGAUGUUCCUGCUUGAGGAGAAACCCUCCAGCAGAAUGAGUUAAAUGAAAUCCCAUACAUUAGCAGGAUGGAAAUAUAUACCAUGAAGAAAAAGGAGAAAAUGCAUCUUUUUUUUUUUCCCCAGCAAGUGUUUUAGUGGUGCUGCUUUGAUUUGUUUUACUGCACAGAAGUUAUGGAGGUGGAGAAGUCUCCUUGACUACUUCUUUCUCCGAAGUCUUUGUAAUUUUGAUCAUUGUUUCUACCCAUCUGUAGAAAUAAUCUUCCUUAUGGACUCAAUCACAUACUGUCUGUUUUAAUGAGCCCAGUGACUGUUGUAGGGAGUGAUGCCAAGAGUGAUGAUCUUUAGCUAUUUCUGUAGGAAAGCAGCUUAGCAGGCCAUAUGUCAUAUUUCCUAGUAAAUGAUUGUUUUGAAUUGUUUUUAUACUGUAGUUUCUAUUCAUGAGAUAUUAAAGAAAAUAACAGCAUCUGGUUAAUCAAAUUCUGAAUUUCAGCAUAUGAUGAUAUAUAUCAAUCCUAUUCUGUGACUUUCUUUGAAAUAGAUUGUAAGUUCAGUGCAGACAAUUUCUCCCUGUUGGCUGGUAAGGCAUCUUAUAGGUGACUAUUAUACCUUAAAAUUUUAAGGGUGAAGAGCUAAGACAGUUUGAAGUUUAACAAGAGCUGAGCUCAGCUACUGUUGCCAGAAAGGAGUUUGCACCACCCUUCUAGCACACAUGUCUAAAGACAAAGAGCGAACAGAAGAAGUGAGGCUUGAGCAAAGGAUUCAAUGGUGUGAGAUUCUCACCACCCUUCACAAAAAAACAAUAAAGCAUUCUCAAAGCCAUUUUGUUAGAAGAAAAUCAGACCAAAGACACUCUUGAAAUUGCUGGCUACCUUUCUUCAAGGCUUGUUGAGGACAACAGGAUUCAGAAUAGAGUUCUCUUGUUUGGAAAAACAGGCCUGGAGAUUAAUGAGUUGGCCAGGAUUACACCCACAUAAUAAGUCAGAUGCAAAGCCACAAUUAGAACUGGAGUACCUCAUGGCAGCCUUCUGAAGAGUUUGCCAGCUCUAAACAAAUUGAAAAAAUAGUCAUGACAGAAGCCAAAGAUACCUGUUCCUGGAGAUGCUUGGGAAAAAGACAGAUGAAGAGAAAGGACAAAAUAUGGGCACUGUUGAGGUAUGUCAGGCACUGGACUCCUGAAAAUUGUAUGAAGUGGAGCUACCUGUGCAGCCAGCUUGGAGUGCUUUUCCCUGUCUCCCACACCUUCAUAGACCCUCCCUGGGUCUGACCAUCCCUUGAACUCUGAUGGAGUUGCCUCGCUUGUAUACUCUGUGUUCUGGAGUAUGUGAAGACUGGAAGCUGAAGCUGGGAGGUGCCAGAACGUCCCACUGAUGAGUUCAGAUGCUGUAAGGAUAAUUUGACUCUUUUCUGAGCAGGAAGACUUGACUACGAAAGGUAGAAAGCUAC